GUGCUCACUUCGGCAGCACAUAUAUUAAAAUUAGAACGAUACAGAGAAGAUUAGCAUGGCCCCUGUGCAAGGAUGACAUGCAAAUUUGGGAAGCGUUCCAAAAAAAA
ensembl:snRNA U6 U6 spliceosomal RNA